rnacentral:rRNA from 1 species
UACGUAGGGUGCGAGCGUUGUCCGGAAUUAUUGGGCGUAAAGAGCUCGUAGGCGGUUUGUCGCGUCUGCUGUGAAAACCCAGGGCUUAACCCUGGGCCUGCAGUGGGUACGGGCAGACUAGAGUGCGGUAGGGGAGAUCGGAAUUCCUGGUGUAGCGGUGAAAUGCGCAGAUAUCAGGAGGAACACCGGUGGCGAAGGCGGAUCUCUGGGCCGUAACUGACGCUGAGGAGCGAAAGCAUGGGGAGCGAACAGG